rnacentral:rRNA from 1 species
AAUAGAUACCCUGGUAGUCCACGCCGUAAACGUUGGGCACUAGGUGUGGGGUCUAUUCAACGGACUCCGUGCCGUAGCUAACGCAUUAAGUGCCCCGCCUGGGGAGUACGGCCGCAAGGCUAAAACUCAAAGGAAUUGACGGGGGCCCGCACAAGCAGCGGAGCAUGUUGCUUAAUUCGAGGCAACGCGAAGAACCUUACCUGGGUUUGACAUGUAGAGAAAAGCCACAGAGAUGUGGUGUCCUUCGGGGUUCUACACAGGUGGUGCAUGGUUGUCGUCAGCUCGUGUCGUGAGAUGUUGGGUUAAGUCCCGCAACGAGCGCAACCCUUGUCCUAUGUUGCCAGCACGUCAUGGUGGGGACUCGUAGGAGACUGCCGGGGUCAACUCGGAGGAAGGUGGGGACGACGUCAAAUCAUCAUGCCCCUUAUAUCCAGGGCUGCAAACAUGCUACAAUGGCCGGUACAAAGGGCUGCGAAACCGCGAGGUGGAGCGAAUCCCAUAAAGCCGGUCUCAGUUCGGAUUGGAGU